AGAGCCCGCGGGCCCCGGGGAAGUGCGGGUCGGAAAAGGGGACGGGCCGCGCCACAAAGGUUUUCUUCUCCAGAGGCAACAGCUCGGCCUCCGGGGCCGUGAGCAGCCCAGGAACCGUGGCCCCAGCUUCCAGGUGCUAGGCAGCCGAAGCCUGGCAACCAGCUCCGGGGAGCCCAGCUGGGGCGGGGAGGCUGGACUGGGCGCUGGGCCAGAGGAACCUCGGCCCCAGCCUCCGGCUGCGCCCACAUUCCUCCCUUGGCCGCAGCCCUGCCACCGAGGUCGGGCCCAGCCCAGUCCUGGGGUGCCUGGUCGCCACCCCCACCCUUGAAGACACCACACUCCAGGCAGGCAGCUGAUAUUUUUAUUGGCCUUCCUGUCCUCUGGGAAACCGGUCUGGUCCCACCAGCUACCCAUUCUCUCAACUGUUUCUGGGGAAAGGCAUGGGGGGGACGGGCAAUCUCCAGCGCGGAUCUUUUCUGCAGCACUUAGUGACUCCUGCCCUCCUGCUGGGGAAGAGAGGCAAGCCGACGUCUAGCAAAUCCUGCCUCAGGAUGAAAGUGUAGGGGAGGUGGCAGCACUCCCGGGGACCGCCCAGCCCCGGGCUAUGCAGAAGCUAGGCAGGCCUAAUGGCCAGUCCAGGCAGGCCCUGGCUUGCCCUGCUCCAAAGUAUGGAGAUAGAGUCCCGGUAAGCACCAAAUACUUUUUUUUUUUUUUUUUUUUUUUUUUUUUUGAGAGGGAGACUUGCUCUGUCAUCCAGGCUGGAGUGCAGUGGUGCGAUCUCGGCUCACUGCAAACUUCACCUCCCGGGUUCAAGGGAUUCUCUUGCCUUAGCCUCCAGAGUAGCUGGGAUUACAGGCGCCCGUCACCAUGCCUGGUUAAUUUUUGUAUUUUUAUAGAGAUGGGGUUUCACCACGUUAGCCAGGAUGGUCUCGAUCUCCUGACCUCGUGAUCCGCCCGCCUCAGCCUCCCAAAGUGCUGGGAUUACAGGCGUGAGCCACUGCGCCCGGCUGCCUUCAGCCUUUUUAUGGCAAGGCUCUGGAGGCCACCCUGCUUCCAAAGGCUAGGUCUGCCUUCUAACUCUAGCCAGGCUG
rnacentral:lncRNA from 1 species